rnacentral:rRNA from 1 species
AAUACAGAGGUGGCAAGCGUUGUUCGGAAUUACUGGGCGUAAAGGGCGCGUAGGCGGUCCGACAAGUCCCGCGUGAAAGCCCCCGGCUCAACUGGGGAACGGCGCGGGAAACUGCCGGACUUGAGUUCGGGAGAGGGAAGCGGAAUUCCGGGUGUAGCGGUGAAAUGCGUAGAUAUCCGGAGGAACACCGGUGGCGAAGGCGGCUUCCUGGACCGACACUGACGCUGAGGCGCGAAAGCUAGGGGAGCAAACGG